UACGGGGGGGGCAAGCGUUGUUCGGAUUUACUGGGCGUAAAGAGCGUGUAGGCGGCCAAGCAGGUCCGUUGUGAAAACUGGAGGCUUAACCUCCAGACGUCGACGGAAACCGCGUGGCUAGAGUCCGGAAGAGGAGAGUGGAAUUCCUGGUGUAGCGGUGAAAUGCGCAGAUAUCAGGAAGAACACCAAUGGCGAAGGCAGCUCUCUGGGACGGCACUGACGCUGAGACGCGAAAGCGUGGGGAGCGAACAGG
rnacentral:rRNA from 1 species